rnacentral:tRNA from 1 species
UUUUAAGAAGCAGCAGAAUGAGUGCGAAGGAGUUARGUUCCUUAUAUGGGAGUAAAUUAUAGUAUGAU